rnacentral:rRNA from 1 species
GACGAACGCUGGCGGCGUGCUUAACACAUGCAAGUCGAGCGGUAAGGCCCUUUCGGGGGUACACGAGCGGCGAACGGGUGAGUAACACGUGGGUGACCUGCCCUCAGCUCUGGGAUAAGCCUGGGAAACCGGGUCUAAUACUGGAUAUGACUCCAUGACGCAAUGUUGUGGGGUGGAAAGCCUUGUGCGGCUGAGGAUGGGCCCGCGGCCUAUCAGCUUGUUGGUGGGGUGAUGGCCUACCAAGGCGACGACGGGUAGCCGGCCU